rnacentral:rRNA from 1 species
AACGAACGCUGGCGGCAUGCCUAACACAUGCAAGUCGAACGAAGCCUUCGGGCUUAGUGGCGCACGGGUGCGUAACGCGUGGGAAUCUGCCUCUUGCUUCGGAAUAACAGUUAGAAAUGACUGCUAAUACCGGAUGAUGUCUUCGGACCAAAGAUUUAUCGGCAAGAGAUGAGCCCGCGUAGGAUUAGGUAGUUGGUGGGGUAAAGGCCUACCAAGCCGACGAUCCUUAGCUGGUCUGAGAGGAUGAUCAGCCACACUGGGACUGAGACACGGCCCAGACUCCUACGGGAGGCAGCAGUGGGGAAUAUUGGACAAUGGACGCAAGUCUGAUCCAGCAAUGCCGCGUGAGUGAUGAAGGCCUUAGGGUUGUAAAGCUCUUUUACCAGGGAUGAUAAUGACAGUACCUGGAGAAUAAGCUCCGGCUAACUCCGUGCCAGCCGCCGCGGUAACAC